AAUCUUUUGUAGAAAAAAAAUAUACGAUAUCAUUCAUUCAUUAAAUUAUAAAAGCAAAAACAUACAAGAAAAAAAAAAAGAAACACAAAAAAUAAUGGAAUUACCACGAGAAAUUAUAAAAUGGCUGCAAAAUUUAAAUUUGCCUUACUCUUUUACAAAUAUUAAAAUUGCCAGUAAUGGGAUAAUCAUUUCGGAAAUUAUAAACAUAUAUAUGCCUAAACGCAUUAAUAUGAACAGCUUAGAAAAUGGUUCUAGUAAAGAGAUAAAAAAAAAAAACUGGCAAAUCAUAAAAAAAACUCUAACCAGUUUUAAUAUACAAUUUGAUGAACUGUCAGUAAUUAAUUCAGACAAAGAAGCAUUAAAAAAUUUAUUCAUUGAUUUGUACGAAUAUUUAACAAAAAAAAAAUGUAGAGAUGUGUACUAUAUUGAAAGUGAAAAAGACAAAGAAUUGAGUAUUCCGUCAUUUGCAAGAUCUACUAUAGCGCAGAAAGUUCGAGAAAGUAAUGUUGAUGACAUAGUAAAUGAAGAGCAAAAGUUAAUAAGUACUUACGAAUUAGUGAAGCAAGAAGAAUAUUAUAAUGCAAUGAUAAGAGAAAAAGAAAAGUGGCAAAAUGAAAAUAAAAAUAAACAAAAAAAUAUAAACAAAGAAACAGCUGUUUCUGAUGCUUCAUUUUUCAACGAAUUAGAAAAAACUAGUAGCAUUAUAACUAUUAAAGAUAUUAAUGAAUGUGAGGAUUAUACAGACAUUCAAACGCUUGAUUCAUUCAUUAAUGAAAAAAAUAAAAUUGACGGAACACAUGUCGGAAGAGGCUUAAAUUUUUUAAAUGGAAACGAAAAAAAAAAAUUCAUUAAAACAGUAUGA
rnacentral:lncRNA from 1 species